GGGUAACCCUCAUGUCAGGCAGCUCGUAGCUCUUCUCCAGGGAGGAGCUGGAAGCAGCCGUGGCCAUCUCUUGCUCGAAGUCCAGGGCGACGUAGCACAGCUUCUCCUUAAUGUCACGCACGAUUUCCCGCUCGGCCGUGGUGGUGAAGCUGUAGUCAGUCAGGUCCCGGCCAGCCAGGUCCAGACGCAGGAUGGCAUGGGGGAGGGCAUACCCCUCGUAGAUGGGCACAGUGUG
rnacentral:lncRNA from 1 species